UACGUAGGGUGCGAGCGUUAAUCGGAAUUACUGGGCGUAAAGCGUGCGCAGGCGGUGCUGUAAGACCGAUGUGAAAUCCCCGGGCUUAACCUGGGAACUGCAUUGGUGACUGCAGCGCUGGAGUAUGGCAGAGGGGGGUGGAAUUCCACGUGUAGCAGUGAAAUGCGUAGAGAUGUGGAGGAACACCGAUGGCGAAGGCAGCCCC
rnacentral:rRNA from 1 species